UACGUAGGGACCGAGCGUUGUCCGGAAUCAUUGGGCGUAAAGAGCGUGUAGGCGGCCUUUUAAGUCCUGCGUGAAAUCCUGCGGCUCAACCGCAGACGGUCGUGGGAACUGGAAGGCUGGAGUGCGGGAGAGGAGAGUGGAAUUCCCGGUGUAGCGGUGAAAUGCGCAGAUAUCGGGAAGAACACCCGUGGCGAAGGCGGU
rnacentral:rRNA from 1 species